GACGAACGCUGGCGGCGUGCUUAACACAUGCAAGUGGAGCGACGAACCAGGGCUUGCCCUGGGGCAGAGCCGCGAACGGGUGAGUAACACGUGGGUAACGUGCCCCGACGACCGGGACAACCCGAGGAAACUCGGGCUAAUACCGGAUGAGCCCUCCGACCGUACGGCCGGCGGGGAAAGGUAGCUUCGGCUUCCGCAUCGGGAUCGGCCCGCGGCCCAUUAGCUCGUCGGUGGGGUAACGGCCUACCAAGGCUUCGAGGGUAGCUGGUCUGAGAGGACGAUCAGCCACACUGGGACUGAGACACGGCCCAGACUCCUACGGGAGGCAGCAGUGGGGAAUCUUGCGCAAUGCGCGAAAGCGUGACGCAGCAACGCCGCGUGGGUGAAGACGGCCU
rnacentral:rRNA from 1 species